AGAGUUUGAUCCUGGCUCAGAUUGAACGCUGGCGGCAUGCCUAACACAUGCAAGUCGAACGGAAACGAUGGGAGCUUGCUCCCAGGCGUCGAGUGGCGGACGGGUGAGUAAUGCUUAGGAAUCUACCCAGUAGCGGGGGACAACUCGAGGAAACUCGAGCUAAUACCGCAUACGCCCUACGGGGGAAAGCAGGGGAUCUUCGGACCUUGCACUAUUGGAUGAGCCUAAGUCGGAUUAGCUUGUUGGUGAGGUAAAGGCUCACCAAGGCGACGAUCCGUAGCUGGUCUGAGAGGACGAUCAGCCACACUGGGACUGAGACACGGCCCAGACUCCUACGGGAGGCAGCAGUGGGGAAUAUUGGACAAUGGGGGCAACCCUGAUCCAGCAAUGCCGCGUGUGUGAAGAAGGCCUGCGGGUUGUAAAGCACUUUCAGUAGAGAAGAAAAGCCUACGGUUAAUACCCGUGGGUCUUGACGUAACCUACAGAAGAAGCACCGGCUAACUCCGUGCCAGCAGCCGCGGUAAUACGGAGGGUGCGAACGUUAAUCGGAAUUACUGGGCGUAAAGCGCGCGUAGGCGGCUUUGUAAGUCGGAUGUGAAAGCCCCGGGCUUAACCUGGGAAUGGCAUUCGAUACUGCAUAACUAGAGUAUGGUAGAGGGAAGUGGGAUUUUCCGGUGUAGCGGUGAAAUGCGUAGAUAU
rnacentral:rRNA from 1 species